GGGGGUGAUCGGUUUCGACAUUGGUCGGCUGGUCAGGGGAAGCGGGUCGAGGAGGCACGGUCAUCUCGUCAACGCUCCGUGCAAACCAAUAGGUGCCAAUUCCAAGCGCACCGACUUCGCCCUCGCCGCCUGAGCGAGCCUCGAAGUCCGUCAGCCUGAGCUAGUUCCCGUCUCAGAGCCUGGCGUCAGCUAGGGAACUCGCUGCGUCGUCAUGCCGGGGGGCGACGCGGGACUCCCACUCGGCUGGGCCCGUCGGCGGACGUGUGCGCGCGAGCGCCGGGGCCGAGAAAAUCCACAGCGCACUGCACCCGGAGAAGCCCUGGUUUCCCGUCAAUGGACGCGGGUUCGAUUCCCGCCACCUCCACC
rnacentral:tmRNA from 1 species